rnacentral:lncRNA from 1 species
AUGGCGUUCAGGGCCUGGAUGGAGGAAGCAGAGGGCGUAGACCUCAUGGCUGGAGGGCAGAUCCCAGGCACGCUCCACAUUCCUGAGCACUCUGCCUGUGGGGGCGAUCCCAGUACUGUGACCUCACUGGGGGGGGUGUCACACAGGACAAUAACGGGAAGGAACUGUGCAGGUGCCAUGCAUGCAGGAAUGCAGGGAGCUCGAUUUCCCGUUCCACGUCUGUCAUUUUAUACCAGUGAAUGUGAGACACGUGUGCCUUUCAGAGCAGCACUGUGGCAGGUUCCAGGCCCAGCCCCACCCCGCAUAAGAUCGGAGGGUCUUCAACUACAAAGGUCCCCUCAUGAGGUGGCCAUGAAGUCAGGCCUCCAGGGUGAGGGGAUGUUCCAAGGGCAGGUUGAAUUCCAGCUUUGUUAUACUGUAUUGUCCCUUCUCAAAGGCCCAUUUAUUUCUCUGUUCACCUCAGGUCUUCAGCCCCAUUUCACAGACGGGCAAGCGAGGCUCAGGGAGGUGAGGAGGUUGCACAGCCCACAGGUUUCGAGCAUCCCACUCAGAGCCUCGGCCUCUGCUGGAUCUCCUCGGCUGCACCCCAGCCUUGAUGGAGCCCUGCUGUACGAGAGGCUAUGGUAACAGAGAGCCUAGUAUGAGUGACACUCAAACACCAGGGGCGUUGACUGCUCGAUCACAUCCCAGUCUGUGGCUGGGGUUCUCCUUGUGAGGAGCCAGGCCCCAGCUCAGGCCCCUGGGAGCACUUACCUUUCUUUCCCUGAGGCCAUCUCUGGCUGCCAAGCUGCUCGCAGGCCACACCUGCUGGGGACACAGCAGCCCACCGCUGUUCGUAGGCAGGCGGAGUAGCUCUGAAGCCAUCCCUGGUAAAACUGUGCCAGGAUGCGUCUUCCCAGGCUUCGUUCCCUUCUCUGUCUCGUGUCCCCACCAACGCUUGAUCCCACUUUGAGGGAACCGAAAUCCUCAUGAGCUCUUUGUGGCUGGGGUGAGGUCUGACCCACUUCACAGGGACUACUGGAGUUGCUGAAGAUGGGGACUGCUGACUGGGCUCUGAGGACUUUGGGAAUGCCUGUGGGAGCCCCGUGGUCUGGAGGGAUAGGCCAGCUGAGGCUGGAUCAAGGCCUCAGCUGCCCUGAAAGCACUCACAGGCUGCAGCUGUGGACACCAGGCUGACCCGAGGCGAGUCAGGAGGAAGAGUGCUGGUGGGACAGGCUGGUGGUCUCUGGGUGCCAGGUUGUCAUGGCCCCUGAGCAGGGCAGGUGAGCAGAUGUGACUGGGGAUUGAUCUCAGAGGGUUGCUGGGUGCAAUGGGAAGGGUUAAGGAUGGGAGGCUGGCCCAGAGGGUGGCCCUGCAGGGUCCAGGCGAG